rnacentral:tRNA from 1 species
AGGUCUAUCGCCAAGCGGUAAGGCAACGGGUUUUGAUCCCGUUCAUCCCCUGGUUCGAAUCCAGGUAGACCUGCCA